rnacentral:rRNA from 1 species
GAACUUUUUCAAAUUGACC